ACUUACUUACUUCACUCCAGUUACCUAGCUACACCUUUGCCCGAUUGCAUAUAAAUGAUCACUGCCUGAACCAUACAGCAGAAUCGAUACUUGAAACAGUUUGGCCAUAAGCUUCAUUUCCUUCUUAUAAAUAAGGGAAUUUAGGAAGAAAACUGGUGUCUAGGAGUUGAGUGUGACUGGUGGUGUCUAAGAAUGGGAUGUGUUGGGAUAUUGAGGGGAAGAUAACACUCACACAAAAGCUCAAAUUGUCAUGUUUUAUUCCUUGUUAACCAUACACAACUAGUUGUAUGGAUGAUGUUGAUUACCAGGGUAAGAAAUGACUGUUCAUGUGAAUAAUAUAAUCAUAUUUAUUAGGCAGCUGGGUUACAAAUGUAUUGUUCUGUUAAACUUUUUAUGGAUCGAAAUGAUAUAAGUAGAUAUUUUUGAGAAGACAUUGACAUUGCACUCUUUAAUAAUGUUGUGGGAGAAUUUUGGAAGCACUGGACUAACUAGAAGAGGAAAAUUACGGUAGAUAGCCACUGAUGCGUGUUCCUAUUGACAUUAUUUUGUAUGGGACUAUUAGAAGUUCGAUUGUCUGUAUGUCUGUCAUGUUUUGACUAUCGAAGAAAUUCCAAAACAAAAAUAAAAAAAAAAACAAACCCU
rnacentral:lncRNA from 1 species